GGCGCUCACAAGACACAGAACCUCUGACCUUGCUCUUUUAUUAACAGAAAAGUCUACCAGCACUUGGUAUUCGGUGGCCCGUGCCGGGGCGUACUCUAUGCAGCCCGCACCUCUUCCUGCUUGGAGUUUGGGGUUGUCAGGCUCGAGCUGGCGCCUUCUCCUGGGACUCAGGAUGCGGGGGCUGCCCAAGCCGCGGGCCCUGCAGCGCUGGGGGGCCGGGCAGGGCCUGCCUGGCCCAGGAGGAUCUGCACCAGCAGGUCGGUGGCCAGCACAUGCGACGGCUCCUCGAAGCCGAUGAACCACCUGCAUCAGUCGUUUGAAGCUUUUGUUAAAGUGCCGGCACCUGGGCAAAGAGCACAACUCUGUGGCAGACAGAAUGCUUGCCUGAGUUCCACACCCAAUGUGUUUGCGGGGUAUAUACAACCAAGGUCUCUCAAAACUGUAGAGCGAAGCUCGCUCGGAAAGUCUCCCGAAGACAUCUCAGCCCUUUCCACUUGUCUGGACACUGCAUUUUUCCUUGGGAGUGGGAGGGUGGCCUCUCAUACCAGAAGUUCUCUCUGGCUAGAGUUGAUGCAGAUGGAAUCUGGUUACCUGAAUUAAACAGGGUUUUUAAAAGCUAAGAAAGCGUUUCAAAUUUGGUAGGAAAGAUGAGAAAGGAGGCUCACCAACCAGAACGUAAUGAGACCCUCUCUCAAGAAGAAAAAUAUGGGCCAAAACAACCAAUCAACCAACCAACCAACCAAAAUCAAAGUUCUAGAGAAAAAAAGAAAAAAGAUUUUGCUACCCUAAAGGCCUAUACAUUGCCUGCUUCUGCCUCUCAAUUCUUCACAGCCCUUGGUGCACUAGUAAAGUGUAUUCCUAAUUA